CGCUUAAUUAUCGCGUGUAUCCUUUUUAUCCUUUUUACCGGAGCGUUCCGAUUUAUUUUAUUCGCAUUUCACAUUUUUCGAAUAAUCAAUAUAGACGCGAUCGCGUGGAAAAUAAUCAGGUCCUUCCCCCGAGUAAUAACGGGGAGUAAAUUCGACACGUAGCACACGUAACGAACGUGGCGAUAUCUGGUGAACAAAGAUAAAAGCAAUACGCAUCGAUACACGUCCGGAUCAUCGUGUGUCAUCGGGAAGUGGACAGUAAUGCAUAACGAGCACACGCGCGGUCAAUUCCGUUAUCGAAACGGAUGGCUUUAUUAAACCCAUUAUUCACUGGUCGUAAUUUAUCACGAUAACAUUGCGUUUUAAGGAUGAUUAUACGAUGGUCAAGAAGGAUGAUGUGUAUCUGCCGAUUACGCGUGCCCUCUGUUUGAUCACGUGAUCGAUUACUCGAACGACGACAGCUCGUCGACCUUAUUUUCCAUACAAACAGUGAACACAUUCGACUCGAAAUCCAUACUAUCGCCGAUACGUCGUUAUAUAUACAGUGGAAAAUUCCGUUAGAGGAUAUAUCACGGUUUACCAUCGACGAUUCGUCUUAGUCACGAGGAAUCGAAAAAACAUCGACAGCUCGCUCCUCUAUUUUCUGCGCUCGUUACGUGGCGAAACAUAACCUUUCAACCUAGAUGCUCGCACACUUUGACGGAUUAGACCCGGUUUACAUCGCCAAGCAUCCACCAACUGUUAUUAUUCUACCCACGUAUCGAAGACACACCGUGGGAUGAAAUUUGGCGUGUGCAUCGUGUGCAAAGGCAGCUUAAUAUCGACGGGGCCGGCGGAUCUAAAAGCGAAGUUUCCUCUCUUCUCCGAGGGAUUUUCUCAGCUUUGGAAUAUAUAGUGGAGAGCGGUGUGUAAACGAUCGCCGUGCCUCCGCACGCCAUAUUAAUAGGGCCAUCUUCGUGGCCAGCUUAAUAUUGGAUAGCGGGGCGCUUCGGACGGUCCUUAGAAGCAGAAACGAUUUAUGGCCUCCACCGUUGGAGGAUUUGUAAAUAGAAUCCUGUGUAGAAGGAGAGCGGCCCGAGGACAGGCACGUGCUCGGCAUAAAGUCCGCCAAGAAUAUGAGGAGGAUUUCCACCAAUUGAAUUUGUUGUUACAGCCUCUACCGAUGCGAAUCAAAUUGAAAAUGAACCACGUUAUCUACUCGCUGAGUAAAUCCUUGCUUCCACGAAACUUAUUAUUAGUUAUUAAUUAUUGACC